rnacentral:rRNA from 1 species
GACGAACGCUGGCGGCGUGCUUAACACAUGCAAGUCGAACGGGUCUGCCCUGUUUUUUGCGGGGUGGGUCAGUGGCGAACGGGUGAGUAACACGUGAGUAACCUGCCCCUCACUUCUGGAUAACCGCUUGAAAGGGUGGCUAAUACGGGGUGUUCUGGCUGUGCCGCAUGGUGUGACUGGGAAAGAUUCACUUUUGUGGUGUUUUGGUGGGGGAUGGGCUCGCGGCCUAUCAGCUUGUUGGUGGGGUGAUGGCCUGCCAAGGCUUUGACGGGUAGCCGGCCUGGGAGGGUGGGCGGUCACACUGGGACUGAGAUACGGCCCAGACUCCUGCGGGAGGCAGCAGUGGGGGGUAUUGCACAAUGGGCGGAAGCCUGAUGCAGCGACGUCGCGUGAGGGAUGGAGGCCUUCGGGUUGUGAACCUCUUUCGCCGGUGAAGAAGGUCCUGCUCUUUGUGGUGGGGUUGACGGUAGCCGGGUUAUGAAGCGCCGGCUAACUACGUG